rnacentral:misc_RNA from 1 species
CCGCACCGCCCGCCGCCCGUGUCGCAGAGGCGGAACUUCCAGCAGCCUUCCCCGGCGCCGCCCGCGCAGAGCUGGGAGUCGUUCGACCUGCUGUCGUCGGUGCCGUCCACGUCCUCGGCCGCCGUGACCACCACCUCGCCGGCCGUCGCCUCCUCGAUCCCGCGGUUCGACUGGGAGCUCUUCUGAAGCCUAUUCGGUGCGUGACGGUUGAUCGAUCAGACGACCUCAGACGGUACAUCGCUUGUCCAUGGAUUCUUUCCAUUUCUUUUCCCCUAUCCCUCCUCCUCUUCUUCUUCUUCUUCCAUUUCCUAUCCCUCCUCUUCUUCUUCUUAUUCUUCUUCUUCCAUUUCCUUUCGAUUUGUAUAUCUACAACAAAAAAAGA